rnacentral:rRNA from 1 species
ACCGUGAGGGAAUGGUGAAAAGUACCCCGGGAGGGGAGUGAAAUAGUACCUGAAACCGUGUGCCUGUAAGCCGUCAGAGCCUUGUGGGGUGAUGGCGUGCCUUUUGAAGAAUGAGCCUGCGAGUUAGUGAUACGUGGCGUGCUUAACCCGUGUGGGGUAUGCGUAGCGAAAGCGAGUCUGAAAUAUGGCGUUUGUCGCGUGUUCUGGACCCGAAGCGGGGUGAUCUACCCAUGGCCAGGUUGAAGCAAGGGUAAGACUUUGUGGAGGACCGAACCCACCAGGGUUGAAAACCUGGGGGAUGAGCUGUGGGUAGGGGUGAAAGGCCAAUCAAACUCCGUGAUAGCUGGUUCUCCCCGAAAUGCAUUUAGGUGCAGCGUUGCGUGGUCCCUGGUGGAGGUAGAGCUACUGGAUGGCCGAUGGGCCCUGUGGGUUACUGACGUCAGCCAAACUCCGAAUGCCAUUAGGUGUAGCGUGGCAGUGAGACUGCGGGGGAUAAGCUUCGUAGUCGAGAGGGAAACAGCCCAGAUCAUCAGCUAAGGCCCCUAAGCGUGCGCUAAGUGGGAAAGGAUGUGGAGUCGCGGUGACAACCAGGAGGUUGGCUUAGAAGCAGCCAUCCUUGAAAGAGUGCGUAAUAGCUCACUGGUCAAGUGGUUCUGCGCCGACAAUGUAGCGGGGCUCAAGCGUACCGCCGAAGCUGUGGCAGCAACACGUGUGGCUGGCGCCAGUUUAUUGGUUGUUGGUGUGUUGUUGGGUAGGGGAGCGUCCUGCAUGAGGUGAAGCCUGGAGGUGACUUCUGGUGGAUUGUGUGGGAGUGAGAAUGCAGGCAUGAGUAACGAAUCUGCGGUGAGAAUCCGCAGCGCCGAUUGACUAAGGGUUCCAGGGCUAGGUUUAUCCGCCCUGGGUUAGUCGGGUCCUAAGGCGAGGCCGACAGGCGUAGUCGAUGGACAACCAGUUGAUAUUCUGGUACCAGGUUGUGACCGCCCAUGCUGAGGUCAUUGUGCUAACCAAUCUGCCCGCCGCGCUCUGGUCCUUCGGGAUUGGGGUUGUGUGUGGGUCUUGGGGUCCCGGUGAUGGUAGGCAAGCGUGUUAACAGGGGUGACGCAGACAGGUAACUGCAGUGCGCCGAUGGUUGUGCGUAUUUAAGGUUGUGGCCCGCCCUUUAGGUAAAUCCGGGGGGCACUAGGGUGAGGACUGAUGAGGGACACACGUGUGUGUGGACUUGUGGUGAUCCUAUGCUGCCGAGAAAAGCCUCGACGUGAGGGCAUGACCUGCCCGUACCCUAAACCGACUCAGGUGGUCAGGUAGAGUAUACCGAGGCGUUCGAGUGAAUCGUGGUUAAGGAACUCGGCAAAAUUCCUCCGUAACUUCGGGAUAAGGAGGACCCCGUGACUUGCUCCCACCAUGCGUGGGUGUUGGGUUGUGGGGUCGCAGAGAAUAGGGAGAAGCGACUGUUUAUCAAAAACACAGGUGCGUGCGAAGCCGUAAGGCGAUGUAUACGCACUGACGCCUGCCCGGUGCUGGAAGGUUAAGAGGAACCGUUAACAUUCUUUGUGGGUGUGAAGCGGUGAAUUUAAGCCCCAGUAAACGGCGGUGGUAACUAUAACCAUCCUAAGGUAGCGAAAUUCCUUGUCGGGUAAGUUCCGACCUGCACGAAUGGCGUAACGACUUCUCCGCUGUCUCAACCGCGAACUCGGUGAAAUUGCAGUACGAGUAAAGAUGCUCGUUUCGCGCAGAAGGACGGAAAGACCCCGGGACCUUUACUAUAGCUUGGUAUUGGUGUUCGCUUGGACUUGUGUAGGAUAGGUGGGAGACUGUGAAGCUGCCGCGCCAGCGGUGGUGGAGUCGUCGUUGAAAUACCAUUCUGGUUUAAGCGGUCACCUUAACCUUGGCCCGUGAUCCGGGUUGGGGACAGUGCCUGGUGGGUAGUUUAACUGGGGCGGUUGCCUCCUAAAAUGUAACGGAGGCGCUCAAAGGUUCCCUCAGCCUGGUUGGUAAUCAGGUGGCGAGUGCAAGUGUACAAGGGAGCUUGACUGUGAGACCGACGGGUCGAGCAGGUGCGAAAGCAGGAACUAGUGAUCCGGCCAUGGCACGUGGGUGCGUGGUCGCUCAACGGAUAAAAGGUACCCCGGGGAUAACAGGCUGAUCUUGCCCAAGAGUCCAUAUCGACGGCAUGGUUUGGCACCUCGAUGUCGGCUCGUCGCAUCCUGGGGCUGGAG